ensembl:lncRNA
AUGAAACAAAUUGAUGUGACGCUAGGUCUGUCACAAUACCUUCCUUUUUUCAGUGCCAGCAGCAUGAAAUGCAGAACUGCCAUGAGUAGGAUUCAUAAUAUCUGUCUUGCCAGAUGGGACAAGCUGUAUGAGGAAAUCUUUAUUCUUCAGACUGGGGAACAUUUGGAUGUUCCACACUCAGCAAAGUCAUGUCCACCCCACUCGUCCCCGCUGCAGCCCUCUGUCCUUUGGGACAUGGCAGCGCCUUCAGCUGUGAGCUCUGGGCAGCAGAACAUUUCUUCCAUGUUUGUGCAGCCUCCAGCACAGCGUGACACAGCUGUGCCACGUUAUUGCCCAAACAGCCACAUAUUUAACAUGAUUGCAAAGACCUGCCGCAUGACCCAGCUCUCUCCUGGCUGCUCUGCUCACAGCACUUCUCCACUGACCUUGCUUUUGGCGAUGUCCAAAUUAGCCUUCUGGUGUGGACAAGCCCCACUCUCCAACGGGGUGAAGCUGUUUGCAGACAGGAGAAGGAGCGCUCCCAGAGACACCAGGCACGCACCGCCAGGACAAUGCUGCGUCUUUGGAACCAUUUGAUACCAAGGGAAUCCCCAGAUUUGUUCUGGGUUUCCCGUAGGGCAGCUCCAGAGGAGUGGCUGUUCUGGGAACGCUGGUUGCACUCUGCAGGUGAGUGCAGCGCACAAGGCUGGGUUUUAGGGUGCCCUCGCUGGGCACGGAGCUGGGCACAGUGCAGAGGCAAGCACUUGCACGCACACGUCACUGAGGUGGCUGCCUUUGCAGCCUGGCUCCCUUGGAAGGAGGAGAGGUGCUUGUCUUUGCUCACAUGCACUGGUGAAACACAGCAAGUAUUUCUGCUGGAGUGGGAUUAUCUCUAGAUCACACCAUCAAUGCAUUUUGUUUUUCCAUUGUGCCUUCCCUUAUUCUGUUGCAAGUCCUGAUUUGUACACCUGCUGCAGUGACAAGAUUUUCUUGGAAUAGUUUUUAUGCGGAUUGCGUUGCUCCACCAUAGGUGAACAGUUGGUUUUACUGCAGGUGGAGCUGACAGCUACACCUAUGUAUGAGGCAGUUGCUCAAUACUUUCCACUGAAAAAAAACCCCAUUUUAAUCACAAUGCAAAACGUUCAGCAAGAAGGCAAAAUGUUCUGUGCCAUCUCCUUUAUACGGUAGUUACUCUCUCCCCACAGGAGGGAAACCAGCACGGAUCUGGAUUCUUGUCUCUCUCCUGUUAUUAUUACUAUUAUUAUCAGUGAUUCUAGAUUGCUAGAGACCAACCCCUCAAUAUUUAACAACAGAAGAAAUGUGCCAUUAGUUGUGUCUUUGCUAGGCAUGGACAUCUAACUCCAAAGCCCACAAAGUGCCUGGGAGAGGGACUUUUUUGCGGUAAGCUCACAAUGUGCCUUUAAUGAAGAUUGGAGAAGCUACAAAGAAAUCAGUACUCUUUAAUCAUCUCUUGGUGGGUUUCUCCUUCCAUGCUGGUUUUGGAGGACUCCUCCUGAUCAGCUGCUCACUGGUGAGCAUGGCCAGCUCAGUAAGGAGGGGAUUUCAGUUCGUGCUUUCUCCCGUGUGUCCCUACUUC